CCCACCCGCAGCCCCACCAACCAAACCCUAACUCCUCCCAUCGCACUCCUCCUUCCUCAUCUCCUCGCUGCCGCCACCUCCUCCGUGUCCUGCCACCUCCUCAUCUCCGUCGAACCACCAGCUCCUCCUUCCUCGACGCGUCCCACAGCGGUGCCCACCGCGUCGCCUGCCGGUCGCCCUCGUGGGUGGCUGCGUCCGCCAGCUCCACCGACGACCUGCUACCCCCGCGCUGGCCUCUCCCACACCCCUCUCUACCCCUAGAUUCCCGUCACCGGCGGCGGCGCCCUCCUUCCCUCACGCUGCACCUGAAGCUCCCUCCCGCUCCCAGCUUUUCUUCCUCUGCCGCCGCCGCUAGGGUUUCGUCUCCCCGAUCCCCAUUCCCCGAAGGUUGGAUCCAGCAGAAGCAGUGAUGGUGGCCGCGGGAGAUCCUCUCCAAGGUUCAGGCCAAGGCCACUGAUGGAGCUGCAGCCGCCGAAGAAGCCGACUUGUCGGAUGUGGCCCCCGCCCCCGCCAAGGACCUCAAGAUCUGGGAUGCGCGUCGGAUGUGCUUCCCCAACGACGACGCUGACGACGCCGCCGCCGUAAGAAUACCUAGAUGGAGUUGGAGAAAGUGGUGAAGGUCAAGGAGCAAGCUAUUGCUGGCAGGCUGUACUACAUUACAAUCCAGGUUGAUGAAGGCGGGGCAAAGAAGCUGUAUAAAGCCAAGGUGCUGGAGCAGCUGUGGCUGGAUGUCAAGAAGCUCCUGGAGUUCAAGCCGGCAGAGGGCGCCUCUCCCAACGUUUAAGGUGAAAUUGCACCAAAGUAUCAAGGGUCGUCCCAACUGUUCAAGGAACUGCAUAUUUGGUGUGGAUAUAGCUACCGCUCGUGCGACAUGUCUUUAGCAUGCUCUCUUGUCUGCGACCUCUUCCUGGGCUUCGCAACCAGCUUUGAGCAGGUCUACGCACUGGCCCCUCCGGCCAGGUCUACCUCGACAAGUGCUACAUUACCUACAGCUACUACCCCCAUGACGGCGGCCUCGGAGCUGCAGCUCACCCACGAAGACAAGAAGAACGAGAACAAGGAGGUGGCUGUCAAUGACUUCCUACCUUCAGAAGAUGCCUACAAGGCCAUCCAACACUCCAUGGAUCAGGGGUGAGGGGAGGCAUGGAGGAGGCGUUCGACAUGUACCGGCAGUCAAUGAUCGGCGUGGCCCUCAUCGAUACGCUAGACAAGAUGGUGGCCAGCGACAUGCACAGCCCCGAGCUCGCCAUGGUCGUCGUCGUGCAGUUCGACAAGGUCGCCCCUUCCCUUCCCUUCCACAUGCUACCACUACACUGCUUCCUCUCCCAAACUCAUCGAUCAACAAUGAGCAUCUAUCUAGAUUGGCCAAGUGUUCGUUAAUCUGCAAGCCCGUUUAAGAGCUGGGAUUGGCCGGUCGAAUUCAACACGGAGCUGAGUGUAUGUCGAAACAUUUCGUCCAUCAAGCGUCGCCUCUCCGCCUCCGGCCACCCCGACGACGCCCUCGCCUUCGCCAACCUCCACUACUCCAUGAGGCUGCGUGUGUGCGCAUGGCGGCGGGUCUGCUAUGGUGCGUGCGGUGGUGGCGCGGCUAGGCUCGAGCAGCUGCGAUGCGGCAGGGAGGGAGUUGCUUCCUCUUGUCCUGCUUCGUGUCCCUGAGGUGGCUAGCUGCACAGGGGGCGGCCGAGGAGGGUGCUGUGGCGAGAAGAGGAGGAGGAAGAAGGCGGCGGCGGAUUUGGACUGCGUACGAGUCAGGCUGCGGCAGGGAGCUGUUGUUGUUGGUGCUGCUGAACAGAGGAGGAACUACAGCUGCUGCUGCCUUGUGAUGUUCCUGGAAGCUUGCUAAGCUACUACUACUUGUGUGGCUGCUUCUUGCUGCUGCGGCAGAGAAAGAAAGAGGUGCAGCGUGCUGAACAGUAAGAGCCUAGGUUGGACUACUUUACAGUGUAUUUUUUUCUAUGGACUUGUUGUUGUGAGCUUGAUGUUGUCGUGGUGGUCAUUACUGUUACAUGUUACAUGUGGAGAUGCUUCAUGCUUUAGUCCCUAGCUGCUUUCUAUAUUUGUUUUUAUUUUGUUUCUAACUCUUUUUGUUUAUUGUUAGAUGCCUUCGUUCAGCCUGUACAAACAUAUCUAGAAAUGGUGUUUCAUCUCAUUAUGAAGCUCCCGCCUAAAAGUGAAGAAUUUAGGAGUAUUGUUGUAGUAGCCUGAAAGUGAAGAAGUUAGGAAUAUAGUUGUUAUAUGUUGUGAUAGUAUCACAUGUAAUGGUGAAAUGAAUUAUGUAAAGAUUGUGCUAUUAGCCAAAUUUUCAUGUGGUUUGAUAA